UAAUUGCUGAGGCUUUGUGCCAGUGCAUGCGAUUAUGAGGAAGUUUCAGAACUACGUGCAGCGUGGAGGUGGCGGAUUGUGGCGUUCCAGGAGGGGGACGCGUGGAGCUGCACUCUGAGCAGACAUAAUGGAGUCCCUGUAAGGUAAAAUGGUGUCUAUAAUUGGAUACUUUGCUGUUAAAAGCAGCUUGGAAUCAUGGUCACAGAUGCCACUUACCUGUUUUCACGGGACAGAGAGUGCAGACGGAAUGAAACAGGACUUCAUUUCAAAUUACUCCUUGUGGACAAAGAGAAGAAAUGGAGCUUGAGAAGUUUCACUUGCUGCGACAGGAAGACAUCUAGGCGUGCGUUGGGUGUGGCUUGAUUUCCUUUUACGGCUGCGGCCCCGUUUCUCAUCACCUGCCCCUCACAUUCUCUUUUCUGGCCUGUUCCGCAGUGGGCAGGUCUAUGCAAACCUACUCCCAAAGUCCGAGGAAGCCAAGAGGCUGAAGAAAGGAACUGAUGUAUCCAGUUUCUCAGACAGAAACAUGAAUAGGGACUUAGGAACAGGAGCCCAUCAGCGUCUCAGGUAAGACAAGAUGGUGGGUCUUUGCUCCAAGACCCCCAGACCCAGGGCUUGGAGAUCACAGGGAGGGAUGGUUCAGAAGGGAGCUGCAGGACAAUUGAAGUACGAUAACAUCAAGGUUGGCUGACCUAAGGGCAGGAUUUACAGUAAGUACUUGCUCUUCUUCAAGGAACAAUAGACAGACUGGAAAUCUUAGAGGUGUGCCUGGAACAGAGGUUAAUCAGAAGCCAGCAUGACGAAUCAGCCUCUAGAUGGAGUCACUGUAGCCUCCAGAUGGCCACUGCAGUUCUCUGCAUGCACCACGCCUCCUUCCCCGCGGCCUCUGCACAUACUGCUCCUCCUGUGUGAGCUCGUCUUCCCCUCUUCAUACCAGACUGUCCUGCCUCAUCUCACAGAUCUCAGCUGCCACAUCACCUCCUCCAGGGAGCCUUCACAGAUGCCCAAGGACUCACAUAACGACCUGGACUUCUCUCGACUAGAGGCCACCUCCCCUAGGCUGUACUUUAUGCUUCGGACUCCUCUUCUAGCCUGUUCAGCUUUGCUUAGGAAAGGACUCCUAGAUAGUGAUUGGUAGACUUUCAAAUCAAUAUUUGCUGAUGUUGAAUGCAGGUCUAGGGCUGUCGUCCCUUCCUAUCUAGACUCAUAUUAUGCGCCAAACAUCUUGUAACUAAAAAUUAAUGUAAUAACUGCUACCCUUUCCUCAGCAUUCACUGUGUUCAGGAGACCACAGAAGAGUCCACAGGAACCAUACAUACCUUAUUCUGGCAACAGCACUGAA